UCCGUGCCAGCAGCCGCGGGUAAUACGGAGGGUGCAAGCGUUAAUCGGAAAUUACUGGGCGUAAAGCGCGCGUAGGUGGCUUGAUAAGCCGGUUGUGAAAGCCCCGGGCUCAACCUGGGAACGGCAUCCGGAACUGUCAAGCUAGAGUGCAGGAGAGGAAGGUAGAAUUCCCGGUGUAGCGGUGAAAUGCGUAGAGAUCGGGAGGAAUACCAGUGGCGAAGGCGGCCUUCUGGACUGACACUGACACUGAGGUGCGAAAGCGUGGGUAGCAAACAGGAUUAGAUACCCUGGUAGUCCACGCCGUAAACGAUGUCGACCAGCCGUUGGGUGCCUAGCGCACUUUGUGGCGAAGUUAACGCGAUAAGUCGACCGCCUGGGGAGUACGGCCGCAAGGUUAAAACUCAAAUGAAUUGACGGGGGCCCGCACAAGCGGUGGAGCAUGUGGUUUAAUUCGAUGCAACGCGAAGAACCUUACCUACUCUUGACAUCCUGCGAAUUUGGUAGAGAUACCUUAGUGCCUUCGGGAACGCAGAGACAGGUGCUGCAUGGCUGUCGUCAGCUCGUGUUGUGAAAUGUUGGGUUAAGUCCCGUAACGAGCGCAACCCUUGUCCUUAUUUGCCAGCGCGUAAUGGCGGGAACUCUAAGGAGACUGCCGGUGACAAACCGGAGGAAGGUGGGGACGACGUCAAGUCAUCAUGGCCCUUACGAGUAGGGCUACACACGUGCUACAAUGGUCGGUACAAAGGGUUGCCAACUCGCGAGAGUGAGCCAAUCCCGAAAAGCCGAUCUCAGUCCGGAUCGGAGUCUGCAACUCGACUCCGUGAAGUCGGAAUCGCUAGUAAUCGUGGAUCAGAAUGCCACGGUGAAUACGUUCCCGGGCCUUGUACACACCGCCCGUCACACCAUGGGAUUGGACU
rnacentral:rRNA from 1 species